GUAAGCUACAAAGAGCAAGUGGUGGAUGCCUUGGCUAGUAGAGGCGAUGAAAGACGUGCCAGGCUGCGAUAAGUCUCGGGGAGCCGUCAAGGGGCUUUGAUCCGGGAAUUUCUGAAUGGGGCAACCCAACUAAUAGAGAUAUUAGUUACCGUAUAACGGAGCGAACGAGGGGAAUUGAAACAUCUUAGUACCCUCAGGAAAAGAAAUCAAAAGAGAUUACGCUAGUAGCGGCGAGCGAACGCGUAAGAGGGCAAACCACUAGUUUACUAGUGGGGUUGUAGGACUGCAAUAUAGACUAAACUUAGCUAAUAGAACAACCUGGAAAGGUUAGGCACAGAGGGUGAUACCCCCGUAUAUGAAAGCUUUGUUUUACUUAGCAGUAUCCUGAGUAGGGCGGAACACGUGAUAUUCUGUCUGAAGCUGGGUAGACCACUAUCCAACCCUAAAUACUACUACUAGACCGAUAGUGCACAAGUACCGUGAGGGAAAGGUGAAAAGAACUGAGGUGAUCAGAGUGAAAUAGAACCUGAAACCAUUUGCUUACAAUCAUUCAGAGCCCUAUGAUUUAUCAGGGUGAUGGACUGCCUUUUGCAUAAUGAGCCUGCGAGUUGUGAUGUCUGGCAAGGUUAAGGAAACCCGGAGCCGUAGCGAAAGCGAGUCUUAAUAGGGCGUUUAGUCAGACGUUGCAGACCCGAAACGAUGUGAUCUAUCCAUGAGCAGGUUGAAACCGGUGUAAGAGCCGGUGGAGGACCGAACCCGCUAGCGUUGAAAAGCUAUGGGAUGACUUGUGGAUAGGGGUGAAAGGCCAAUCAAACAUCGUGAUAGCUGGUUCUCUCCGAAAUAUAUUUAGGUAUAGCGUCAUGUAGUAACACUAGGGGGUAGAGCACUGAAUGGGCUAGGGCAUACACCAAUGUACCAAACCCUAUCAAACUCCGAAUACCUAGUGUGUAAUCAUGGCAGUCAGGCGGCGAGUGAUAAAAUCCGUCGUCGAGAGGGGAACAACCCAGACUAACAGCUAAGGUCCCUAAAUCUCAUUUAAGUGGAAAACGAUGUGGAGUUACUUAAACAACCAGGAGGUUGGCUUAGAAGCAGCCAUCCUUUAAAGAAAGCGUAAUAGCUCACUGGUCUAGUGAUUCUGCGCGGAAAAUAUAACGGGGCUAAAAUGAGUACCGAAGCUUUAGACUUAGUUUUACUAAGUGGUAGGAGAGCGUUGUAUUUGCGUUGAAGGUAUACCGGUAAGGAGUGCUGGAGCGAAUACAAGUGAGCAUGCAGGCAUGAGUAGCGAUAAUUGGGGUGAGAAUCCCCAACGCCGUAAACCCAAGGUUUCCUACGCGAUGCUCGUCAUCGUAGGGUUAGCCGGGUCCUAAGCAAAGUCCGAAAGGGGUAUGCGAUGGAAAAUUGGUUAAUAUUCCAAUGCCAACUAUAAUGUGCGAUGGAAGGACGCUUAGAGUUAGAGGAGCCAGCGGAUGGUAGUGCUGGUCGAAAGGUGCAGGUUGGAGUUCAGGCAAAUCCGAACUCCUUUAAGCCGAGGCCUUACAGGUGCGUGAAGUUCUUCGGAAUGAAUCGUAAAUCCUUGAUACUGUCGAGCCAAGAAAAGUUUCUAAGUUUAGUUAUAGUUGCCCGUACCGUAAACCGACACAGGUGGGUGGGAUGAGUAUUCUAAGGCGCGUGGAAGAACUCUCUUCAAGGAACUCUGCAAAAUAGCACCGUAUCUUCGGUAUAAGGUGUGCCUAACUUUGUGAAGGAUUUACUCCGUAAGCAUUGAAGGUUACAACAAAGAGUCCCUCCCGACUGUUUACCAAAAACACAGCACUCUGCUAACUCGUAAGAGGAUGUAUAGGGUGUGACGCCUGCCCGGUGCUCGAAGGUUAAUUGAUGACGUUAGCUCUGCGAAGCGUUUGAUCGAAGCCCGAGUAAACGGCGGCCGUAACUAUAACGGUCCUAAGGUAGCGAAAUUCCUUGUCG
rnacentral:rRNA from 1 species